rnacentral:misc_RNA from 1 species
UACGUAGGGUGCAAGCGUUAUCCGGAAUUAUUGGGCGUAAAGAGCUCGUAGGCCGUUUGUCGCGUCUGCUGUGAAAUCUGGGGGCUCAACCCCCAGCCUGCAGUGGGUACGGGCAGACUAGAGUGCGGUAGGGGAGAUUGGAAUUCCUGGUGUAGCGGUGGAAUGCGCAGAUAUUAGGAGGAACACCGAUGGCGAAGGCAGAUCUCUGGGCCGUAACUGACGCUGAGGAGCGAAAGGGUGGGGAGCAAACAGG